rnacentral:rRNA from 1 species
GUCUACAACUACACCAUCCUAAACACACCUGACCUCGUCUGAUCUGGGAAGCUAAGCAGGGUUGGGCCCGGUUAGUACUUGGAUGGGGUCCAUAGCUGUGUUCAGUUCUUCAGGCC